rnacentral:lncRNA from 1 species
AAGGCUUUACCAUACCGAAAAUCGGCCGAUUUUUAACCAUGUGAGAAACGUCCCGAAAAUUCACAGAUAACUACUAGGAGGCCUCACUCUGAGUAAUAUCAAAGUUUUCUCCCACAAGAACCGCUCGGAGAUGCCCGGACUCAGUUUUUAUUUUCGUCCCAAUACUUUUCUUCCCAUGGACUAGUUGUGUUUCUUUGAUCUUGUGCAACCUAUUUAGGCCGAUGAUAGCCCGCGGAUAGGUGUGGAAACCCAUCUAUAUUGCACCCAGUAUGACACAGAAAAAAAGCCCAGGGCCUAGGGGUCGGGUGGGGCUCGUUCGGGUGCACAACGGUUGCGCCAAAAACGGUCCAAAAAUGGCCAAGGCUUUACCAUACCGAAAAUCGACCGAUUUUUAACCAUGUGAGAAACGUCCCGAAAAUUCACAGAUAACUACUAGGAGGCCUCACUCUGAGUAAUAUCAAAGUUUUCUCCCACAAGAACCGCUCGGAGAUGCCCAGACUCAGUUUUUAUUUUCGUCCCAAUACUUUUCUUCCCAUGGACUAGUUGUGUUUCUUUGAUCUUGUGCAACCUAUUUAGGCCGAUGAUAGCCCGCGGAUAGGUGUGGAAACCCAUCUAUAUUGCACCCAGUGUGACACAGAAAAAAAGCCCAGGGCCUAGGGGUCGGGUGGGGCUCGUUCGGGGUGCACAACGGUUGCGCCAAAAACGGUCCAAAAAUGGCCAAGGCUUUACCAUACCGAAAAUCGGCCGAUUUUUAACCAUGUGAGAAACGUCCCGAAAAUUCACAGAUAACUACUAGGAGGCCUCACUCUGAGUAAUAUCAAAGUUUUCUCCCACAAGAACCGCUCGGAGAUGCCCGGACUCAGUUUUUAUUUUCGUCCCAAUACUUUUCUUCCCAUGGUUUAGUUGUGUUUCUUUGAUCUUGUGCAACCUAUUUAGACCGAUGAUAGCCCGCGGAUAGGUGUGGAAACCCAUCUAUAUUGCACCCAGUAUGACACAGAAAAAAAGCCCAGGGCAUAGGGGUCGGGUGGGGCUCGUUCGGGGUGCACAACGGUUGCGCCAAAAACGGUCCAAAAAUGGCCAAGGCUUUACCAUACGAAAAAUCGGCCGAUUUUUAACCAUGCGAGAAACGUCCCGAAAAUUCACAGAUAACUACUAGGCGGCCUCACUUUGAGUAAUAUUAAAGUUUUUUCCCACAAAAACAGCUCGGAGAUGCCCAGACUCAGUUUUUAUUUUCGUCCCAAUACUUUUCUUCCCAUGGUUUAGUUGUGUUCCUUUGAUCUUGUGCAACCUAUUUAGACCGAUGAUAGCCCGCGGAUAGGUGUGGAAACCCAUCUAUAUUGCACCCAGUAUGACACAGAAAAAAAUCCCAGGGCAUAGGGGUCGGGUGGGGCUCGUUCGGGGUGCACAACGGUUGCGCCAAAAACGGUCCAAAAAUGGCCAAGGCUUUACCAUACGAAAAAUCGGCCAGGUUUUAACCAUGCGAGAAACGUCCCGAAAACUCACAGAUAACUACUAGGCGGCCUCACUUUGAGUAAUAUUAAAGUUUUUUCCCACAAAAAAGCUCGGAGAUGCCCAGACUCAGUUUUUAUUUUUUCGUCCCAAUACUUUUCUUCCCAUGGUUUGGUUGUGUUCCUUUGAUAUUUUGCGACCUAUUUAGACCUAUGAUUGCCCGCGGAUAGGUGUGGAAACCCAUCUAUAUUGCACCCAGUAUGACACAGAAAAAAAUCCCAGGGCAUAGGGGUCGGGUGGGGCUCGUUCGGGGUGCACAACGGUUGCGCCAAAAACGGUCCA